UACGUAGGGUGCAAGCGUUGUCCGGAAUUAUUGGGCGUAAAGAGCUUGUAGGCGGUUUGUCGCGUCAGCUGUGAAAUUUCGGGGCUCAACCCCGAACUUGCAGUGGGUACGGGCAGACUAGAGUGUGGUAGGGGAGACUGGAAUUCCUGGUGUAGCGGUGAAAUGCGCAGAUAUCAGGAGGAACACCGGUGGCGAAGGCGGUUCUCUGGGACGGUACUGACGCUGAGACGCGAAAGCGUGGGGAGCGAACAGG
rnacentral:rRNA from 1 species